rnacentral:rRNA from 1 species
UACGUAUGGGGCAAGCGUUAUCCGGAUUUACUGGGUGUAAAGGGAGCGUAGACGGCGAUGCAAGCCAGAUGUUAAAGCCCGGGGCUCAACCCCGGGACUGCAUUUGGAACUGUAUAGCUAGAGUGUCGGAGAGGCAGGCGGAAUUCCUAGUGUAGCGGUGAAAUGCGUAGAUAUUAGGAGGAACACCAGUGGCGAAGGCGGCCUGCUGGACGAUGACUGACGUUGAGGCUCGAAAGCGUGGGGAGCAAACAGG